UGCUCUAAGGAAUAUAUUUAGAGUUUUCCCUGCUCAAUGAAAUUUAAAUAGCCGCAGUACUUUGACUGUGCAAAGGUAGCAUAAUCAGUUGGCUUAUAAUUGAAGUCUAGUAUGAAUGGGCGAUCGGGAAAUUUCUGUCUCAAAUAAUAUUGAAUUAAACUUACUUAGUAAGUGAAAAUUCUUACAAAUUAAAUGAAAGACGAGAAGACCCUAGAAAUUUUAUAUAAAAACUUUUCUGAUACUUAUUUUGUUGGGGCGACAGAGUAACAAUAUAAACUUACUCACAAUACAGGCUACUAUUAAGUCGUAUGAAUAAAUUACUCUAGGGAUAACAGCAUAAUUUAUUAUUAAGAUUUUGACCUCGAUGUUGGACUAGGGAAAAAUUUACUUAGAAGGUAAAUUAGUAGGCUCUGUUCGAGCUUUAUCCCCUAC
rnacentral:rRNA from 1 species